GUCUAUGGCCAUGCCACCCUGAACAAGCCCGAUUCUAUCUGAUCUCGAAAGCUAAGCAGGGUCAGGUCUGGUUAGUACUUGGAUGGGAGACCACCUAGGAAGACCAGGUGCUGUAAGCA
rnacentral:rRNA from 1 species